AAGAGGAGGAGGAAAAAAUUCAAGCAUGUGUAAUAAAAUAAAAUGUGCAUUUUGUUUUAUGAUUAUGUUGAUUAUAGCCUCUGCACUGCUGUUGCGUGUAUAUUAUAUGAAAAUAAACCACUUCAUAUUUUUAAUAAAAUUCCCUAAUACCUUUGAAUAAGACUCAGUGGUGAUCCUUAAGUUCAACUCAAACUCUUACAGACUAUAUGUGUGUGUGUGUGUUUUAUAUAUAUACAGAGACAGAGAGACAGAGAAAGAAAGAAAGAAAGAAAGAAAGAAAGAAAGAAAGAAAGAAAGAAAGAAAGAAAGACAGAAAGACAGAAAGACAGAAUGACAGAAUGACAGACAGAGGGAGAGACAGUCAGUGUUUUUCUUGGCUGUUCUGGAACUCUGUGUGUAGAUGAGGCUGACCUCAAACUCACAAAGAUCUGCCUCCCUCAGCCUUCUGACUGCUAGGAUUAACUGAAAAUAUUUUCCUAUUUAAUUCUGAGCUUUUGUAAACUCAGCAUAAUAUUCUUAACAUAUAAACUUUUAAUUUUUGUCCUGCUAUCUGUCUCUACUGCAAAUAGCUUCAAUAUUAUUUAAUUUUUUAAAAUGUCAUUUCAAGAACUACAUGUCUUUGUCAGUAAAUGCUCUAUCAAUUGCUGAGGUUACCUUACUAAUAACUCAAAGUCAAAUAUAAUCCACAAAACAAAAGCUGAAUUAAAAUGUUUAAAAUAAACAAUUCUUUAUUCACACAAUUGAAGAAAAAUCUUAAAUUUAUAUUUAGUUUAUGCUGCAAUUAGCAUUGUGGCAUCAUUAAUUUUAAGGGAUGUAUGGGCAUCCAUUUCAAAUGAACUGUCCAAUGAAGAGGAAGUAUCUGCCACUACAAUCCUGUACUUCAAAUUUUCUUUCUCAUUUAUUAUUCAAAAGAUCUAGAGUCACUGCUUGGGCACUUGUUUUUUUAUGAAGUAGUAUGUAAUAUUCUAGUACAAAAUUGUAUGUAAUCAAUGACAGAACAUCAUUUUGUUUUCCAUUUUUUAUUAGGUAUUUAGCUCCUUUACAUUUCCAAUGCUAUACCAAAAGUCCCCCAUACCCACCCACCCCCACUCCCCUACCCGCCCACUCCCCCUUUUUGGCCCUGGCGUUCCCCUGUACCGGGGCAUAUAAAGUUUGCAAGUCCAAUGGGCCUCUCUUUGCAGUGAUGGCCGACUAGGCCAUCUUUUGAUACAUAUGCAGAGACAAGAGGUCCGGGGUACUGCUUAGUUCAUAUUGUUGUUCCACCUAUAGGGUUGCAGUUCUCUUUAGUUCCUUGGGUGCUUUCUCUAGUUCCUCCAUUGGGGGCCCUGUGGUCCAUUCAAUAGCUGACUGUGAGAAUCCACUUCUGUGUUUGCUAGGCCCUGGCAUAGUCUCACAAGAGACAGCUAUAUCUGGGUCCUUUCAGCAAAAUCUUGCUAGUGUAUGCAAUGGUGUCAGCGUUUGGAAGCUGAUCAUGGGAUGGAUCUCUGGAACAGCAUUUUAGAGGCACUUAUUAAAAAUGAAAAUUUUUAUGAUGAACUUUUAUGUAUUAUCUCCUCUCCAGAUGAAAAAUUAAUUAUGUCCGACACUGCGUGUGAUUUUUUUGCUACCUUCAAUAAUGGAUUUACUAAUAAAUGUGUAAACAACAGAACACAAAUAAUAUUCUAUGAUAAUUUUCAAACUAUUUUGUUUCUUUCCAACAGAAUGUACCAGUAACCUUGUGUAGUUGCUAGUGUGGCUGGUAAGUUUUGCUUAACCACACAGACUUCUAGGCAUACAUCUGGACCCUGACAUCUUUUUUGUUUGUUUGUUAUGUUUUGUUUUGGUUUUGUUGUUGUUGUUUUGUUUUUUGAGAAAGGGUUUCUCUGUGUAGCCCUGGCUGUCCUGGAACUCACUUUUUAGACCAGGCUGACCUUGAACUCAGAAAUCCACCUGCCACUGCCUCCUGAGUGCUGGGAUUAAAGGAAUGAGACUGCCACAUACCAAGAUUUGCUGUCUGUUAAAUCUUUGAAAAGCAUGAAUUUCCUUAUAAUUGGGUGAUAUUUUCCUGCUUCCCCUUUCAUUUAUGGAUUCUGACCACUGCAGUUAGCAUCCUCACUGACAGGCUCUGUGUAACUCUUUCAAUUUUCCGCGUGAUUCUUGGCCAUGUUUUCAUUUUCGGGAAGCUGUCUUACUCCCCAUUCCAACAAAGCAGAAAGGAAAAGAAACUGUUAAACUACAAAUUUCAUUUUUGUUUCCUCUUUUCCUUCUUGAUAUUAUUUAUGGCUCUUAUGUCCAUAAACCUUAUUUUACUGAACUAUUAGUGAACAUACAUAUCUAAACAGUACAGAUCAGUAUUAACAGAAUUUAAAGAGGAAAUCAAUGUAAGAAAACAGAGCUUUGAGUUCCAAAAUCAGUUCUGUACCAAACUGUGAAGCUUUUUCUUUCAAUAUUUAAAUACGAGUUCACAUUUCUCAGUUCUUAGAUGGCAAAGCAAAGACUCUGUACACUGCAUAGCUAAUUUCUUACAGUUUUAGCAAUUACCAAAGCUUAUCACAGUAGAUGAAAAGAUAGCAUUUGGUAAACAAUAAUGUUUAAUUGGAAACCCUUUGCUGUGGUAACACUCCCAAUUCACUCUGAAAGAAAUUUCCUGCCUUCAGAAAGUAAUAAUGCUUUGAUUUUUAGCAAGCCACUCUGUCUCAUAUUAAUGUUAAUGAACUUGAGAUCAUUCUUGCACCUGGAAAAUCAAUAAGCAGGAAAAAUUCUUUUCACUAAAAGG
rnacentral:lncRNA from 1 species